rnacentral:rRNA from 1 species
CAGCAGUGGGGAAUAUUGCACAAUGGGGGAAACCCUGAUGCAGCGACGCCGCGUGGAGGAAGAAGGUCUUCGGAUUGUAAACUCCUGUUGUUGAGGAAGAUAAUGACGGUACUCAACAAGGAAGUGACGGCUAACUACGUGCCAGCAGCCGCGGUAAAACGUAGGUCACAAGCGUUGUCCGGAAUUACUGGGUGUAAAGGGAGCGCAGGCGGGAAGACAAGUUGGAAGUGAAAUCUAUGGGCUCAACCCAUAAACUGCUUUCAAAACUGUUUUUCUUGAGUAGUGCAGAGGUAGGCGGAAUUCCCGGUGUAGCGGUGGAAUGCGUAGAUAUCGGGAGGAACACCAGUGGCGAAGGCGGCCUACUGGGCACCAACUGACGCUGAGGCUCGAAAGUGUGGGUAGCAAACAGGAUUAGAUACCCUGGUAGUCCACACCGUAAACGAUGAUUACUAGGUGUUGGAGGAUUGACCCCUUCAGUGCCGCAGUUAACACAAUAAGUAAUCCACCUGGGGAGUACGACCGCAAGGUUGAAACUCAAAGGAAUUGACGGGGGCCCGCACAAGCAGUGGAGUAUGUGGUUUAAUUCGACGCAACGCGAAGAACCUUACCAAGUCUUGACAUCCUGCGACGAUGCUGGAAACAGUAUUUUCCUUCGGGACGCAGAGACAGGUGGUGCAUGGUUGUCGUCAGCUCGUGUCGUGAGAUGUUGGGUUAAGUCCCGCAACGAGCGCAACCCUUACUGUCAGUUACUACGCAAGAGGACUCUGGCAGGACUGCCGUUGACAAAACGGAGGAAGGUGGGGAUGACGUCAAAUCAUCAUGCCCUUUAUGACUUGGGCUACACACGUACUACAAUGGCGUUAAACAAAGAGAAGCAAGACCGCGAGGUGGAGCAAAACUCAGAAACAACGUCCCAGUUCGGACUGCAGGCUGCAACUCGCCUGCACGAAGUCGGAAUUGCUAGUAAUCGUGGAUCAGCAUGCCACGGUGAAUACGUUCCCGGGCCUUGUACACACCGCCCGUCACACCAUGAGAGCCGGGGGGACCCGAAGUCGGUAGUCUAACCGCAAGGAGGACGCCGCCGAAGGUAAAACUGGUGAUUGGGGUGAAGUCGUAACAAGGUAGCCGUAGGAGAACCUGCGGCUG